rnacentral:rRNA from 1 species
GGGUGAGUAAAGCAUCGGAAUGUACCGUGUAAUGGGGGAUAGCUCGGCGAAAGCCGGAUUAAUACCGCAUACGCCCUGAGGGGGAAAGUGGGGGACCGUAAGGCCUCACGUUAUACGAGCAGCCGAUGUCUGAUUAGCUAGUUGGUGGGGUAAAGGCUCACCAAGGCGACGAUCAGUAGCGGGUCUGAGAGGAUGAUCCGCCACACUGGGACUGAGACACGGCCCAGACUCCUACGGGAGGCAGCAGUGGGGAAUUUUGGACAAUGGGCGCAAGCCUGAUCCAGCCAUGCCGCGUGUCUGAAGAAGGCCUUCGGGUUGUAAAGGACUUUUGUCCGGGAGCAAAUCCCAGUGGUUAACACCUACUGGGUUCUGUUUGUACCGGAAGAAUAAGCACCGGCUAACUACGUGCCAGCAGCCGCGGUAAUACGUAGGGUGCAAGCGUUAAUCGGAAUUACUGGGCGUAAAGCGUGCGCAGGCGGUUGUGCAAGUCUGAUGUGAAAGCCCCGGGCUUAACCUGGGAACGGCAUUGGAGACUGCACGACUAGAGUGCGUCAGAGGGGGGUAGAAUUCCGCGUGUAGCAGUGAAAUGCGUAGAGAUGCGGAGGAAUACCGAUGGCGAA